UUUCAUGCAAAUCUGCUGCAACAGCUAAUUUCUGAGCUGGUGCCUGGCCUGUUGCCCCUAAGUUUGACAGAUGAACCAACACUCUGCAAGCAAGGGCUGCCAUCUGGGACCGCUCAGCUGAGGAUGGCAUCAUGAGCAGGAACCCAGGUUUCUCAGGAGGCCUUGGGCUACUAUCUGGUGAUCAUGACUCCCAGGGUAGAGAGACAGGAGCUUGUGCUUCCCACUUCCUCCCAAUGACUGCCUGGAUAUGAUGGACCAUGGUGGGGUCACAACACGAACUUGAGACUAUGAUGUUAACCA